rnacentral:rRNA from 1 species
AACGCGAAGAACCUUACCCAGAUUUGACAUCGAUUGCAACAUCCAGAGAUGGGUGCCUCUCCUCAAAAGGGAGACAUGAAGACACUUGUUGCAUGGCUGUCGUCAGCUCGUGCCGUGAGGUGUACGGUUAAGUCCGCCAACGAGCGCAACCCUCGUCCUAUGUUGCCAGCAUGAAAGAUGGGAACUCAUAGGAGACCGCCGCCGUAAGUCGGAGGAAGGUGGGGAUGACGUCAAGUCAGCAUGGCAGUUACAUCUGGGGCUUCACACAUGCUACAAUGGACGAAACAAAGGGCAGCAAUACCGCGAGGUGGAGCCAAUCCCAAAAAUACGUCCCCAGUUCAGAUUGCAGUCUGCAACUCGACUGCAUGAAGGCGGAAUCGCUAGUAAACGCAGGUCAGCUAUACUGCGUUGAAUACGUUCCCGGGCCUUGUACACACCGACGCGUA